CCGGGGGUGAAAUCCAUAAAUAAAAUAAAAGGAAGAAAAGGAUUAGAUCAAAAAUCGCAAAGAAACGGAAGGAUCAAAAUGGAAAAUAGCCCAAUUAUCUGAAACGCACGGACCUCUCUUGGAUCGGCUCGGGUCGCACACGGGCGCAUCAAAACGGUGCCGUUUCGGCACUUAGACCACCCACCCAAAACGCUGUCGUUUUGUAAGUGUAUAUAAGGCCCAAUUUUUGUUACAAAAUCAUUUUAGCCUUCAAAAAAAAACUGAAACAGACCCUUAAACUCUCUCUCCUUCCUCCAUUUUCUCAUUUCGGCUAGGGUUUCAACACCCAUCAUUGCCGCCAUUGUUGUGGCUCUUUGAGGCCACCGUGGUUCCCACCGUAUACGGGGGUUAAGGGCAUGCGAAAAGGGGCUUUUCACCUCCGGAGUUUAUUAGGAUAGACCCCCUUUUAUUUCCCCUUUGGAAUCGGUUUCAACAACGGAGCAGAGGCUCUGGCGACGCGAAUCCAGGCUUAGGUAGGUCCCCUUUCCUCUCCCUCUUUAUAUUUUUUGUUAUAAAAAUAAAACUUUAAAAAAAAAGAAAAAGAAAAAGGAAAUAUAAAAGUAAGGAAAACAGAAAGAUAUAUGAAAAAACGAGAUUGAACCUUUGUUUUCUUUGCUUUUGAUUGCUUAAAAUUGUGUGUUACAAUAUUUUUUUGCGUUUGUGGCUAUAUAGCCAAAUACCAAUGCUUUUUGUCUAUUCCUUCCACUAUUUGGUACGUUUCUGCUUUUUUGCUUUCUUUUUGUUUCUGUUUUUGCAGGUUUAGAGGGUCAACGAGGCAAAAACUUGCCGUUUUGGUGCAAACGGCAUCAGGGGAGCCGUCCUCGGGCGUUGGAUGUGCCGACGACGCACAUGGGAAGGGUACGGCGCUGAAAGAGAUUAGGGUUUCAAAAUUGGCUUAGGUUUUAAGCCUAUUGGGCCAUCAAAAUAUUGGGCUUGUAUUUGGGUUAAAACUUUUUGUAAGUGGGUUGCUUAUAUUUUUUGGGUUUUUAUUUUAACGAACAGGGCAAAAUUGAGCCCGUACAGAGAAUAUGCCUCAAAGCUUCCAAAAAAUCUAUUUUUCCAACAUUAAAUACUCAUGGUAGAUCUCGAACCUAUGUACUCAUGACUUUCAACUUCCACAUUAAACAAGUAAAUUAUUAAAGAUGGCAAUUCAGAUUACAGAUUUAGAUAUCUGAUCUAAAAUUUAAGAAUCCGAAUAAUAUUCAGACUCAGAUGUUAAAAUUACUAUCCGUUGCGGAUUUGGAUAGACCCCCUCGAAUAUCCAUUAUCAAAGCCAACCUUCAAC
rnacentral:lncRNA from 1 species